GACGAACGCUGGCGGCGUGCUUAACACAUGCAAGUCGAACGCUGAAGCACCAGCUUGCUGGUGUGGAUGAGUGGCGAACGGGUGAGUAAUACGUGAGUAACCUGCCCUUGACUCUGGGAUAAGCCCGGGAAACUGGGUCUAAUACUGGAUGCUACAUGUCACCGCAUGGUGGUGUGUGGAAAGGGUUUACUGGUCUUGGAUGGGCUCACGGCCUAUCAGCUUGUUGGUGAGGUAAUGGCUCACCAAGGCGACGACGGGUAGCCGGCCUGAGAGGGUGACCGGCCACACUGGGACUGAGACACGGCCCAGACUCCUACGGGAGGCAGCAGGGGGGAAUAUUGCACAAUGGGCGAAAGCCUGAUGCAGCGACGCCGCGUGAGGGAUGACGGCCUUCGGGUUGUAAACCUCUUUCAGCAGGGAAGAAGCCACAAGUGACGGUACCUGCAGAAGAAGCGCCGGCUAACUACGUG
rnacentral:rRNA from 1 species